UACGUAGGUGGCAAGCGUUGUCCGGAUUUAUUGGGCGUAAAGAGCGUGUAGGCGGCCAGGUAGGUCUGGUGUGAAAACUCGAGGCUUAACCUUGAGAUGUCAUCGGAAACCAUUUGGCUAGAGUCCGGAAGAGGAAAGUGGAAUUCCUGGUGUAGCGGUGAAAUGCGCAGAUAUCAGGAGGAACACCUGCGGUGUAGACGGCUUACUGGACCGUGACUGACGCUGAGGCACGAAAGCGUGGGUAGCAAACAGG
rnacentral:rRNA from 1 species